rnacentral:misc_RNA from 1 species
UCUCCGUUGGUGAACCAGCGGAGGGAUCAUUACCGAGUUCCAGCAACUCCCAACCCUUGCGAACCGUACCCCAGUCUGUUCUCGUUGCUUCCGGCAGGCGGGGGGGGCCACCUGGCCCCUCCCCCUGCCGGGGGCGGCGGGCCCUCUGAACCUUUGUAUCUCAACCACUGAAACCCGUCUGAGCAAAACAAAAAAUAAUCAAAACUUUCAACAACGGAUCUCUUGGCUCUG